GUUCUCGUGGCGUAUUUGAUAACGCGCCUGUCUAGCGAAUGGAAAUUCGUGAGUUCAAUCCUCAUCGAGAACA
rnacentral:tRNA from 1 species